AAAGGCCAGAACAAUGAUUUGUAGUUACACAUUAGUUAGUCAUUAGAAAGGCCAUUUAUGAAAAAGUUUACCAAUUGUUUCUGAAUUGUAGGUAAAUUUACAUUAUGAUCCUUACAAAACUUCUUCCGCAAGGUUUUACAGUCUUUCCGCGAAGAUGUGAACAUUUCAACCAGGUUUUGUUUAAUAUUGCUUUAAAGGUCGAA
rnacentral:lncRNA from 1 species